rnacentral:lncRNA from 1 species
CUUAAGUGUCUUCUCAUUUUUGUUUUUGGUACUGUCCUUGAUUUAAUUCCUGGGUUGAUAUUUCAAGAUUGCUUAAUGAAGGAAAACUAAUUAGAUCAAUCACAACAUGUUAGCCCAAAGGAUAUAGUCAGCAAUACCAUAGCAUCAAGCACAGCUUAGAAAAUGACACUUUGUGGUCGUCAUUAAUCUAUCACUUUUAAUUAUGUGAGUUAAAUUAAAACCAAGGACCAACCCAAGAGUCUUCCUAUGUAGUCCAGGCUGGCCUGGAACUUGCAAUCUUCCUGCCUCAGGCUCCUGAGUACUGGGAUUGUAGGCAUGUGCUACCAUGCCCUGCUGAAAAAUUGGCUUCUUCUUCUUUACCUACAUCUUGCCUGAUUUGCUUUGUGGUCAUAAAUGGAAAAUGUGCUGGCCAGCUGAAUUUUAAGCAAGAACAACAAUUUUCCUAUAUGAUUUGACAUGGACCUUAAAGAGUCAUUGUGCCUAGAAAAACAAAGUUGCUGUAACUUGGGUACUGGGGGAAGAAGAGGCAGAAAGUCUGGGUCUCCUCUCCAGUUAAUGGUAAUUUUGACUUUAAAAGCUAUAAGAAAAACUGAUGCCUGGAAAAGUCAGAGGGUUACUCCAGUUCAGACAGCAGCUCAAUAGCAGAAUCAAGAACAAACCUCCCCUCUCAGCCCUCUCUGUCUUACUGUGGACUAUUUCUUCCUUAUGUGUCUUACAAUUGCUGGUCACCUGGAUGCUUAAGCAGCUUGAUCUCAUUUCCUUCUGGCCUUGGAUGACCUCACUGUUAUCCUGCAUUAGCCCAUGAACUUUUGGACCAAUAAAAAUAAUGUACACCCCCAAAGCCCAAACUUCUGGGAAGAUGAUGGAGUGGUGAACGGCAGAGAAACAGCAUCUCCAAGAUUUGGUGUCCAGAUGCUGGAAUAUAGCAACAUGAGGAAGAGAAGAAGGAGGAAAGUAGGUUCCCAGGACCCAGCAAAGAUCUGAAGUGAGAAUUAAAACCCAUAGAGAGAGCAAAGAAACUCUUCAACAAAGAAGGAGGUGGCAAGCAGUGCUUUCUCCCUGAGCCCUGACUUACUGCAUGGGAGGGGCAGCCCAAACCUGCAGAUGUAUGGUGACUAAUGGAAACCCCAGAGGCCUUCAUGGAGAAACACACCAGUAGAACAAAGCAGUGAACACAGCAGACUGCAGUGGCUGGUGAAUUGUUUGGGUUCAGACAUUCCCUAGGAGAGGGUGAUUGGCCGGUAGCCAUUUUGAAGACAGGCCAACUGAGCUUGGAACUCAAAGCAACUGCUGGCUCCAUCUAGCAGUUCCCAGCAUCAGGGUGAAGUGGAACUGAGUUCAAGUCAGCAGGAGGUCAAACAACUGAGUUCAAAUUGGCAGGAGGCACACAGAGUGUUGCAGGCUGAACAAAUUGGGUUCCAGCCUCACAACCAGAAACCAGACCUAAAGGUUUCCUAAAGUGGACCUAAAGGUGCAUAUUUGCUGGGAUUAUUCACCACCCCAUCAUAAAUCUAGAGCUGGCUUGCUGGGAUUAAUUAACACAGAUCUGGUUUGCCAACUCUGCCUACCAGGGACAGCAGAGACACACCCUGAAGUAGACAUUUUUCUCCUUUUCUUCUUUUUUUGGUUUUGUUUCAUUUUCUUUUCUCUUGAUUGUUUGAUCUUGUUUUUAUGUGAGUGUGAACAUUGUUUUUAGUCUUCUUGUUGUUGUUCUGUUCCUAUUUUUAUUUUUUCCUUCUCUCCCUCCUGUCUUCUUCAACAGUUUCUCAAGGUUUCAGAGACCUUCCCUUGUCCUGUAGCCUUGCUUUUAAUCUCUUCCUCUUCCUUUUUUUUUGUUCUGGGAAUCGAACUUAGGAUGUUGUACUUGCCAGGCAGGUGUGGUUCUACUGAGCUAAAUCCCUGGCCCUCUUCCUUUUCUAUUUCUGUAU